AUGCAGGCCAGAAAAUUCAACAACAACAAUAUUCUUGUACACAAUUAUUUUGCAGAAGUAGAAGAACAGACGUGCAAUCACAAAAAUCAGAAGAAAAAGAUUGGGAUACAAGCUGAAGCAGAAGAGAGGAAACAUUGUCGCGAUCGAAAGUCGAACCGCGACACCGCUAUUAUCGCGACUGCCCCUCCUUGA